GCCAUGCCGCGUGAGUGAAGAAGGCCUUCGGGUUGUAAAGCUCUUUCAGACGGAAAGAAACGGUCACGGCGAAUACCCGUGACUAAUGACGGUACCGUAAGAAGAAGCACCGGCUAACUACGUGCCAGCAGCCGCGGUAAUACGUAGGGUGCGAGCGUUAAUCGGAAUUACUGGGCGUAAAGCGUGCGCAGGCGGUUUGGUAAGACAGACGUGAAAUCCCCGGGCUUAACCUGGGAACUGCGUUUGUGACUGUCAGACUAGAGUGUAGCAGAGGGGGGUAGAAUUCCACGUGUAGCAGUGAAAUGCGUAGAUAUGUGGAGGAAUACCGAUGGCGAAGGCAGCCCCCUGGGCUAACACUGACGCUCAUGCACGAAAGCGUGGGGAGCAAACAGGAUUAGAUACCCUGGUAGUCCACGCCCUAAACGAUGUCAACUAGGUGUUGGGGAAGAGAUUCUUUAGUACCGCAGCUAACGCGUGAAGUUGACCGCCUGGGGAGUACGGUCGCAAGAUUAAAACUCAAA
rnacentral:rRNA from 1 species